rnacentral:lncRNA from 1 species
AGGAAAGGGUGGCUCAAGCCUCAAAAGAAAGGGUUUAGGUAGGUCAAAAGCUUGACAUCUAUUGAAUGUACGCCUUUAUUGGAUUGGGCAUAUUUCUAAGCUGCAUUUAGGAGUUUUAUCAAGCUGUGGCAGGGGCAAGGGUCAAGAGCAAUGGAGCCUUGAGAGGGCAUAUUUUGAUAGAAGAUAUGGGCCAGAUGCGGCACACGAUAUAUCGACGACACCUUAGUAGGGGCCAGAAGAAGAAAUAGAAUCAAAACUUUUCUAAGUAGCUACACCCACGUCUGGCCGUUGAGAUAGAUUUAGGGGGAAUCUAUCCAAGUAUGGAAGCUGACAUGUCUGCAUUCGCCUAUCCUUCUCAUAAAGAUAAAAGAGAAAGAUUACCGCACUAAGCUUGACUUCCCGCGCGCUUUCCUAUCGUAAACUUUGAUUAAUCGUCUUUCGGCUUUUUACCCUUCAAAGCAUACAUGAGGAUAAAAACCUCUAAAGAAAGGACUAGUUAGACGGUGCCUAUUUUCUUUAUAUAAUAAAUUGAUUCUUCUAUAAGCUCUUGGUCUUAUCAAUUUAAACCCUAUGGGCUUGGCUCCUUCAGGCAACUCUAAUCAACCAAACCUUAUUCUUGCCCAUGGAGUUCAUAUCCUCCUUAAUUGCAUCAUACCACCUCGAGGAAUCCUUUCCACCUAUGGCUUGUGAAAACGUGACUGGGUCAUCUAAAAGUGUACCGUCUUCAUGCAGAUACAAAACGUAAUCAUAAGAAAUGGCAGGUCUCCUCUCUCUUUUUGAUCUCCUCAAUGCCACUUUACCUCCCACAGGUGGUGCCUGAUGUGGGGCAUCAACGGCUGGAAAAGGUGGCUCUUAGGGUGAACCCUGGUUCGUGUUGAAGUGUAGCUACGCCCCGUAAGGUCACUUUACCCGAAUACCUUACUUACAUUGAACUACCCUCGACUUGAUCCAUCCCAAUGAUGGUAGGUAGGCAACUCUUUUCCGAGAGCGCGGUUGAGAAAGAUUUUUAUUGAACCCCUGGGACUCUGUCCGCUUCCCUGAAGUAAGUCUUACCGCAGACGUGACAUUUCACUAUAAAAAUGAAAGAGUUAAGUUAAAUCGAUAGGUUGAGGAAUCGAACCUUAAGGCUUCAACACAUAGACCAUUUGCACCAGUAGCGAACUCAGUACAGGUGGAGUUGCGUGGCCUAUUCAUCUUCAUCCUAGAUUCGCUCGUUAACUGGAUGAAUAAAAGGAAUUAAGGGUAAGAAGGAAAGGGUAGCUUGGAUUUCAGAUGUUGACGUAAAAAAAAAGUCCUUUGCUUAAGCCGCAGGGCUCAAAUACCUGAUAUCAAGAUCAAAGGCAUACCUGACUCCCGAAUGGAAGGAAAAAGAAUGCCCUCUCCAACUACAAAUGGAUACCAGACCGCCCCCGGUGAAAGCCCUCUUUUCCAUACGGCCCUAAAAGUCAAGUUUUCCAUGGUUCUUUUUGGCUCUUUAUGAAAGAUUGUUGGUAAGCCUACCCUCCCAGGCGCACCUGAUUAGCCACUUACUCUAGUAUGAAUUGCUUGCUUGUCGGAUCGAACACCUUAAAAUGGGAACCUGCAAAGCCGUUCCAUUACUCAUUGAUCGUUAACCAUAAGAUUGGCUGACUAACUGCCGGAUUUUACAUUACACCUUCACAAGGGUGUGAUCAACUCAAGCGGGUCUUUCGGGCCGGGAUCCUAACCAGUACCUACCAUGCCCCCGAGAUUCCUCAGUACAUAUGGGUUGGUGCUUAGUCUGUCAAUUCUAUCUCAACAAAGGAAAAAUCGUUCGUUCCGCUUCUUUUUUCAAAAAAAAGAGCUCCUCCGACAAGCUCAUUCGCUCACAGACAAUAGUAGAUAAAUGAAUCGAUCCUUCGUGCUUUCACUUAGCCCUCGGCUGUGAACCAUUGUCACUCGUAUGGGUGCAUGUACCUCCGCGCCUAGAAGAGAGCUUUCACUGGGGAUUAAAAAAAAGGGGGGAUUGGCAUGUAUUCCCCACGGGGAAAUUCCCAUUGAGAGUUUACAUACGUAUACCUCUAUUCUUAUACCCGGCAUUCGCUGCCAUAAGACAGCCCUGGUAUUCCCACAUUUCUUUUUUUCUAAGACAAUGGAUUUUCUGCUAACAGCGGAUUCUAUUCCGAGAAAACCAUCGAGAUAACUACAAAAGAACCUUCCGCCUUGCUUUCGAGCUUAGCUUUGCGUCAUGGGUUCCAAAUUGGCUGAGCUAACCGUACCAGGCGAAGAACACAUGCUGGGAACCUGGUGAAAGGAGCUCUUCCAGGUCUCUAUAACCUGAACAUUCUUCACUUUAUUGGCAAGACCAAUCCGCAACCGUAGAACCGCAACACGGCUUGGUAGGGUAAAUGGCGACCUUUAGACUGUCUUCCUCUCAAGGCAACGAACGAGCGGGGGCUCCGAGACCUCGUUUUUUGUUUUCCUCAUUAAGGAAUGCAAGUACUCAAUUUUUAGAGUAAAGAAGAGGGACUCCCUUUCGUCUACUUUAUUAAAUGUCGAAAGACACUUCAUUCUGCUCCUGCGAGGUAUAGCGGAAUUACGCGGGAAGGAGUAUCAGAAUAUAGAGAUAGACUAGAAGCAGACGAGGAGAAGGUUUACUUUGGAGUUCCUUCCCUCUCUCAAUCUGUGACCGUCCCCUUUCGGAAGGGAUUUUUUGUCAUACUAUAACGUUUACUUUCUAUUGGAUUUGUCCUUAAGAUUCUACUAGCGCUACAAACUUCAUUUAUAUGACGUUAAGUGAGAGAUCUGCAAUUCAUCUUGUGUUUGUCUCACUAAAUCAACUUCUGCAGUCUCAACUCUCUAUUGAAUUCCCGCAGAUCUCAGUUAUCUCAAAAUGGCUCAGCCUCUUGUGAAGAAAGAUGAUGAUCGCGAUGAUGAACUGGAAUACUCUCGGCAUUGAGAAGGUUGCUGCAAAUAAGAUAGCGAGCUACAAGGCGAAAAGAGGUCUCAUGACCAGGGAACUGAAAAGAAGUAAAAGCCGGAGGAAUGAAUUUGAAAGCUUUCUAGGAAGAGAAAGGAAUGCAUUUUCUGACAUAACUAUACGAAAUUUCUUUGAUCGAUGCCUUUGACUCAGAUCCCAAUCCCUGGAGCGAAAGAAUCUGGUAAUAUAUCCUCUGGUUUAGCUCCACCUCUGAGAAAUCUUUAGUCCUCCGUCUCUACUGCCCUUUCACUCCAGUUUACCGUAGCAACUACAGCAAGCUGCCUAGCUCACUGGCUCGUAUGACUAGCUCGCUUACUUUAACUCAUCAGCCUAGCUCUAACAAGCCAACACUCCGUUCCUAGUUUCGCUACCCUGCUUUACCUGGUGAGAUAGCUUUCUUAAGGAUUGGCUGUCCUACUUACCAUGCUUUCCAUGCCAUGUGCUUCCUCCAAGACUUGAAAAGGGGCUGCCCUAUAUUAUAUAGUAAGUUUCUUUUGGUUAGAAAUGGAAUAAGAGAAGAAAAAUCGUAGCGUAGUCCUCCGGGGGUAGGGUUAACACUCCAUAGAUCAGAUCGUGAACUCUUUCAGACCCUUAGUUUCACUUGGUUGGGGCAGAGUUUCAGCCUGCCUUCUACCGAAUAUAAAAAAACCUUACAGCUGCCUAAUCUGCUGACAUCCCCGCGAAGAGAGUCAUUAUUUGUGUCACAUCCUCGAAUUCGAGAGCCUGUUAUCUCUCAAAUUAUAGGAUAGGCAUUGAAGCGAUCGAGCGAGAGAAAGAAAGAAAACUAUUGCACACGCCCCUCAUUCGCCCAGAAGGUAAGGCAAAAGCAGCUUAAGCUUCCGAUCACCCGACCCGAGAAGCCCUCGAUGAACCGCCUAUAGUCUUAUAUAGACUUUUAUAUAUAAAUAAAGAUUUAUAAGUAUGACUAAUCUGACGAAGAAUCGUAGUUCCUGCACCUUGCGUGGCGUCUCCCAGUCCAAUAAUAGCCCAGAUGGCCAAUCACUCACGCGAUUCAAGCAAAUUAGGAUCC